rnacentral:rRNA from 1 species
GUAAGCUACUAAGGGCGCACGGUGGAUGCCUUGGCGUCAAAUGCCGAUGAAGGACGUGGUACACUGCGAUAAGCCUCGGGGAGUUGUGUGCGAACGCUAUAUCCGAGGAUGUCCGAAUGGGGAAACCCACCAGGGGUCAAUGCCCUGGUACUGCAAUCUGAAUCCAUAGGGUUGCAGGGGGAACGAGGUGAACUGAAACAUCUUAGUAACCUCAGGAAAAGAAAUGAUUCCCAAAGUAGUGGCGAGCGAAAUGGGAGUAGCCCAAACCGCAGCUAUAUGCUCGCGGGGUUGUAGGGCCUGGCACAUGAGAGUGACAAAUCUGUCUGGUAGCAGAAUCUUCUGGAAAGUGGAGCCAUAGAGGGUGACAGCCCCGUAGGCGAAACUGGACAGACUCUCGCUAGGUACCUGAGUACGACGGGACACGCUAACCCUGUCGGAAUCUGGGAGGUCCACCUUCCAAGGCUAAAUACAUUUGACGACCGAUAGUGAACAAGUACCGUGAGGGAAAGGUGAAAAGAUCCCCGGCUAGGGGAGUGAAAUAGAACCUGAAACCGUGUGCCUACAGACGGUCGGAGCACUAUGGGCGAUGCUUGCAUCGCUAAUGUGUGACGGCGUGCCUCUUGGAGAAUGAGCCGGCGAGUUAAUCUCAGUGGCAAGGUUAAGCUAGAUACAGGCGGAGCCGCAGCGAAAGCGAGUCUGAAUAGGGCGUUGAGUCGCUGGGAUUAGACACGAAACCAGGUGAGCUACCCAUGAGCAGGUUGAAGCGGGAGUAAUGUCUCGUGGAGGACCGAACUCACUAAUAUUGCAAAAUUAGGGGAUGACUUGUGGGUAGGGGUGAAAUGCCAAACGAACUUGGAUAUAGCUUGUUCUCUCCGAAAUAGCUUUAGGGCUAGCGUCGCGUGUUUAGUAUAGGGGGUAGAGCACUGAAUGAGCUAGGGGGCGCAAGCUUACCAACCUCAAUCAAACUCCGAAUACCUAUACUCCAAGCGCGGCAGUCGGACUGCGUGAGAUGAGUUUCGUAGUCGAAAGGGAAACAGCCCAGACCGUCAGCUAAGGUCCCCAAGUGUGUGUUAAGUGGGAAACGAUGUGAGAAUGUUUAGACAGCCAGGAGGUUGGCUUAGAAGCAGCCACCCUUUAAAGAGUGCGUAACAGCUCACUGGUCAAACGCUCUUGCGCGGAAAAUUCAACGGGGCUUAAACACACCACCGAAGCUACGGAUCCGAAAGGAUGGUAGGAGAGCGUUCUGUAGGAGAUACAAGGUAGACCGAAAGGACUGCUGCGGCCUACAGAAGUGAGAAUGCCGGCAUGAGUAGCGCAAAACAUGUGAGAACCAUGUUCCCCGUAAACCUAAGGUUUCCGACGGAAGGCCAGUCCGCGUCGGGUUAGUCGGGCCUUAGCCGAGGCCGCAAGGCGUAGGUGAUGGACAUCCGGUUAAUAUUCCGGAACCACUCAAGUGGAGCGAUGAAGGGACGCGGUGUGGUAGGUCAGCCUCUUACUGGAUUGAGGUGCCAAACGCGUAGGACGUUGAUGGGUGUAGGCAAAUCCGCACCUGGAGUCCGAAACGUGAUGGCGGUGCCUUAGAGCCACAAGUGAUUGAGCCACGCCGCCAAGAAAAGCUUCUAAGCGUCGAGAUUUGAGUGACCGUACCGCAAACCGACACUGGUAGGUGGGUAGAAUAUACCAAGGGGAGCGAGAGAACCCUCGUUAAGGAAUUAGGCAAAUUUCCCCCGUACGUUCGCAAUAAGGGGGGCCUCUGGCGGUGAGCUAUGCAAAGCUGCUGGAGGCCGCAGAGAAAUGGCUCUUCCAACUGUUUAACAAAAACACAGGUCUCUGCUAAGUCGAAAGACGAAGUAUAGGGGCUGACGCCUGCCCAGUGCUGGAAGGUUAAGGGGAGAGGUUAGGCGCAAGCCAAAGCCUUGAGCCGAAGCCCCAGUGAACGGCGGCCGUAACUAUAACGGUCCUAAGGUAGCGAAAUUCCUUGUCGGGU